GCAUAUCAAUAAGCGGAGGAAAAGAAACCAACAGGGAUUGCCCUAGUAACGGCGAGUGAAGCGGCAACAGCUCAAAUUUGAAAUCUGGCUCUUUCAGAGUCCGAGUUGUAAUUUGCAGAGGGCGCUUUGGUGUUGGCAGCGGUCCAAGUUCUUUGGAACAGGACGUCACAGAGGGUGAGAAUCCCGUACGUGGUCGCUAGCCUCCACCGUGUAAAGCCCCUUCGACGAGUCGAGUUGUUUGGGAAUGCAGCUCUAAAUGGGAGGUAAAUUUCUUCUAAAGCUAAAUACUGGCCAGAGACCGAUAGCGCACAAGUAGAGUGAUCGAAAGAUGAAAAGCACUUUGGAAAGAGAGUCAAAUAGCACGUGAAAUUGUUGAAAGGGAAGCGCUUGCAGCCAGACUUGCCUGUAGUUGCUUAUCCAGACUUUUGUCUGGUGCACUCUUCUAUAGGCAGGCCAGCAUCAGUUUGGGCGGUUGGAUAAAGGUCUCUGUCACGUACCUCCUUUCGGGGAGGCCUUAUAGGGGAGACGUAAUGCAACCAGCCUGGACUGAGGUCCGCGCAUCUGCUAGGAUGCUGGCGUAAUGGCUGUAAGCGGCCCGUCUUGAAACACGGACCAAGGAGUCUAACAUCUAUGCGAGUGUUUGGGUGUCAAGCCCAUACGCGUAAUGAAAGUGAACGGAGGUGGGAACCCUUUGGGUGCACCAUCGACCGAUCCUGAUGUCUUCGGAUGGAUUUGAGUAAGAGCAUGGCUGUUGGGACCCGAAAGAUGGUGAACUAUGCUUGAAUAGGGUGAAGCCAGAGGAAACUCUGGUGGAGGCUCGCAGCGGUUCUGACGUGCAAAUCGAUCGUCAAAUUUGGGCAUAGGGGCGAAAGACUAAUCGAACUAUCUAGUAGCUGGUUCCUGCCG
rnacentral:rRNA from 1 species